AAACUAAUAAAAUGGGCCCACAUGCCCGAGCCAGCGAGUCCACGAAUCCUGGCUCAGAGCUGCCACGGAGGCGACCAACAACACUCGAGGAGCACACAAAUACCAUACUUUUAUCUAUAUAUCUAUAACCUCUGUACCGCAGAAGACUGAAUACACCAAUCGACAAAAGAAAUCACCAAAAAUCAACGAGAACUGAAGGGAAAAGCAGCUCAAGUGGAGCAGUCGCUCCCAAUUCCAUUCGAGGCACUCCCACUGUAUCUAUUUGUGUGUCCCCAAAAAGAAGCAAACUAAUCCAUAAUCCGUCGACCAGAGAGCUGAAUGCAAUUGCAAAUUAGAUAACCAGGACUGGGUAUUCGUCAUUUCUGGGAUUUACACAUAAAACUGGCCCAUUGGAUUAUACAUAUGAGGGAUUGCAGAUUAUGCAACGGAAAUAGUGUAAUCAUCGCAAGGACCAUCACAAAUCCCCGUAACUAUGUCCGGAGCUCUCCAGGAGUCGCUUGCCCGCAUCGAACUAUUAUGAAACUCGAAGGUGGAAGGUGGCACA